GCGUCGGGGCGGAUCGCCAGGCCGGCAGGGGCGGCGCGCGGGGCGGCGCCGGACUCCACGGGCUGCGGGCUCCCGAGACGCCGCGCUCCGCCUCGAGGAGGCCGCCGGCCCUGAGAGCCGAGCGGCAGCCCGCGGAGUCCCGCCCCGAGGGGUUGAAGAGCACUGGCAGAGGCCCUGUGAGACAGCUCCACUUGAAAAGGGACACCCAGGAUGGGACCCACACAGGAAAACAGACCAAGGGUUACCACCUCGUCUGACGUCUGAGAUUUCCUCUCUGGGAGAUGGGCCUGUCAUAAGCACUGUCCGAUGUCUUUAGAGUUCGUGGCCCUGGCUUGGGAUCUGCCUGCUUUCUUUGCUGUUGUCACCGUUGCCCGAGUACACAGAGGUGCCUAGAGCUAGAGCACCUGGCCUCGCCGUGUCAGCCAGCAGAGAGACAUCUUAGGCAGCCGCUCUGGGGGAGGAGGACUGCCCUUCAGCAGCAUGGAGGAGAAGCCGCAGCUGUCUCCGUGAAGGUCAAAAGCCUUGGCUGACUUAUGGACCCUCUUUGAGGUGGUUCCUGAGUCAGUGACCCUAUUUCCAGACAGAUACACAGACUUAAAGGGGGUGACCUGGCACUGGGCAGAGGAAUGAACGUAAAGUGCAAAUGUGGCAAAAUUCACCAUGAAAGUUAAAAUGUUC
rnacentral:lncRNA from 1 species